rnacentral:tRNA from 1 species
GCCUCUGUAGCUCAGUUGGUUAGAGCGCUGCACCGGAAUCGCAGGGACGUAGGUUCGAUUCCUACCAGAGGAC